CCGCUGGCUGCCGCCGACGCCGACCGAGGAGAAGAGACGAGACGAGACGAGACGAGACGAGACGAGACACCGAGUAGCCGCCGGCGCCGCCGCCGCCCCCGGGGGAGAGGCAGUUAAGUCUAGUAGAAUAUUGGACUGGGAAUACUAGACUGCCCCACUGCCAUUCACUUCAUUUAUCUGUAUCCCUUUCUGAGUGUUGAGGAAUGAUUUGGGAGGUGCCUGGGCCUGAAACAUGCGGUUACUAAUGGAUCCUUCAAUGACUUAAUCCUUCAUGGCAACUGAUUGGAAAAGCAGAGGCAACUUCAAGUGGCAGGCUGAGGAAGUGUGUGUGUCUGUGUUUGUGUGCGCGUAUGUAUAUUUAAUACUGUGUACAGCUAGACAUAUAUAUACAUAAGGACAUAUACAUACGCACACAUUUACAGUAACGUAUGCACUCACUUUGGCCCCCUCUCAAAAGUCUUACAACUGAUGAAAAUAAAUUUAAGAAUCAGAUGGGGCAACUUGGCAACACUGGGCUCAGGAGUCCAGGGAGAAAAAUACUUUACUAAAAGUCAACUUUCCAUAUGGUCUUCACGAGUGAAGAAAGUUUGCAAAAAGAGGAAAAAAAAAUACUGCACAGAUCAAGUCCCCAAAAUACCUCUACAUUUAAAAGAAUGAGCUAAUGAGAAGGUGACAGGGUUGAGGGGUGGAAUCUGUCUUUUAGUACCAUGUGUAUGAUCAUGUGCUGUCCUUGGCACUUUGUUUUUUUAAUGAGUUCAAUGAAUUGAACUCUUUUUUAUUUCUUGGACUGGCUAUUGACCAUUACUUUGUGGUUAUGACUGGAAGAAAGUAAAUUCAGGAGUGAUGGAACAAGUUUGGACAUUGAACUGAUUUGUUUGCUUUUUUUUUCUUUUUCUUGAGGGUAUU